AUUCAAAAUCCUAAUCUUCCUUCUUUGAAUCUAACAAUAAUGUUCUCAAAUCUAUUUGUCACGUGGGCAUUUAUCAUGGAACAAUAUAUUUUUUACCAGCAAGACAGAAUCCCUUUGUUUUGCCAAAGGAUGAUUAAAACUGAUAAUUUUAAUCAUUUCAAGUAGAAUCUGCAGAGAGGUUUCCUAGCCACAGAUGGAUCAAGCAAAGUCACCAUGAAACUAUACCAUUUUAAUUGUAUUUCCUCUGCUCUGAAAGCUAAAAAGCUAAAGCUCCAGAAACCUAGGCAUUUGAACUAAUUUUUUUUUAAUGUACUGGAUUACUGAACCAUCAAAACCAUUUCAGUAAUAAGCAACUUGUUUUUCUGAGUCUAGGAUUUUGUGAAACAACAGAGAAGACAAUUUUACAACUGAAAAGGAACCUAAAAGCAUUCAUCUACCCGACUUCUUAUUUUAUAGAUGAGGAAAACAGGCCCAGAAGCUCUGAAAUGCCUUUCCUAGACAUACACAGAUGAAAAACUAGAAGGCUACAGCUCUCUCCUCACUCCUGCUUUCUGUGCCUAACAAGAUGUGAGACUUGGGACCAAGGAAGUCUUGGAAGGCCUAAAUCAGGAGAAAGAAGUUAACAUCGAUCAUAGGAAUCAGGCUCCAACCUGUACCGUAUAAUAUAUAUACCAAGAAACACAAACAUCAGGAAAGGAAGAAAGAUGAAGAUCUGCCUAAAAGUUCAGAAGCUGUACCAUCUCUGUGAAACAGCACUGCUGAAUUGUAGCCUGGACUAAUGACAUCGGCUUCACCUGGGAGCUUAUUAAAAUACAAAAUUUCAGCCCCACCUACACCGAACUGCAAGAUCCCAAGAAUCUAUAUUUUAACAAGCUCUCCAGGUGAUUCUCAUGCAUCCUGACAUGUCAAGUGGAAAGGUUUAUAGGAAACAUUGAUCAGUGAUCCUUGAAACAGUGAUCCUUGACAUACAUGACUUCCCAAGCAUUCUGAGAAGCAAUCAAGUGGAAAAUCAUGAGGAGGGUAAGACAAAACCAGAUGGCCCUAUGCAUCUAGAAGAUGUUGUUCCAGUAAAGAUGGCCUGAGCACCAGAAGCACUUCAGCAACCUCUGAGCAGAGGGAAAAAAAGAACAGAUAUAAUAUUGCAAAGAUUGCACAACUUAAGUGGCUCUCCCAAAGAGUACUUCAUUGACUCCUUGAUUGAAAGAAGGCCUUCUUGACUAUCUACUGCUCUAUACCCAGGACCUGGAAGUGUCCCUUGCUAGUAACUGACACUCAAUAAAUAUAUGUUGAAUAAAAGGAAGACAGAGGAAAAGGAAAUGUUCUUUAUCCAGGUCAGAAAACCAGCAGAGAAGCAAAAUGAAAUAUAAAAUGAAGACCAUAUUUUACAGGGAGUAGUUCAGCUGGUGAGUCAUUGACUUGCUUUGCUGACAGUGUAAUUUUUAAGGGUGAGUAUGUAAUAAAAGGCCAAUUCUAGCUAUGGAGGAAGUAAUCAGUAGAUAUCAUUUAAAAGCAAAUUUAUUAAAGUAAUAGUUAAAUUGCACAAUUGUACCCAGCAAAUGCUUAUUUCAAUUCCAAAAGAAAAAAAAUAGUGUACCAUGUGGUUAGGAGAAUUAAAGUCUCUCAUCUCUUAGUAAAAAAUUAUCCCAAGACCACUUGCUUAGUUCCUGCUAUGGGCAAGAGAGAGUAUUUAACUCUUCUACCAUGAAGUAAUUAUUAUUGUACCAUCUUACAUAUGAAAAACUGAGACUCAAAGGUGGAAAAUGACUAGUCUAAGCUCAUAUAACUGGCCCAAAGUCAUCCAAUUUAAAUCCUAGACAAUCUUCCUUUAUGAAAUGUAGAGACACAUUACCUCUAUGAAAUAUAUUGUUCAAAAAUCGCCAACAAAUACAUGAAAAAAAUGUUCAACAUCUUCAGCAAUUAGGAAAAUGCAAAUCAAAACUAUACUGAGAUUUCAUCUCAUUGCAGUAAGAAUGGCAGCCAUCAAGAAUACGAAUGAUAAUAAAUGCUGGAGAGGAUUUAGGGUAAAGGAAUAAUUUUACACUGCUGGAAUGGUAAAUUAGUACAAUCACUGUGAAAAUCAGUAUGGAUUUUCCUGAAAAGACUAGGAAUGGAAGCACCAUAUGACCCAGCUCUCCUACUCCUUGGUGUAUAUCAUAAAGAAUUAAAGUGAGCGUACCAUAGUGAUGCAUGCAUCCUGAUGUUUACAGCAGCCUAAUUCACAAUAGCCAAGUCAUGGAAACAGUCUAGGUGCCCAACAACAGAUGAAUGGAUAAAGAAAAUUUGCGAUAUAUACAUGAUGGAAUUUUAUUCAGUCAUAAAACAGAGUGAAAUUAUAUCAUUUGCAGGAAAAUGGUUGGAACUUGAGACCAUGAUGUUAAGUAAAAUAAGGGAAACAAAAAGUCAAAGGUUAUAUCUUUUCUCUCACAUGUGGAAGCUAGAGAAGAAAAAGGAAAAGAAAGAUGUGUGGGGAGGGAAUCUCAUGAAAAUAGAAGGGAAAACAGUAGAAUAAAGGAAGGAGUGCAGAGGAAGGGAGGAUCAAGGGAAAGAGGAGGUACUGAGGAGCAAAAUUGACCAAAUUAUAUUGUUACAUUGUGUGCAGGCAUAAAUAUGUAACAAUGAAUUCCACUGUUAUACAUAAUUAUAAUGCACCAAAAAAUAAAUUAGAAAAAAAGAAAUAUUGUUCAAACUUAUAAACCACCUUAUUAAAUAUUAAGAAUUUUAUCAAGCUUCUCUAUGUACUAUUAUUGAAAAGUUUCUCUUAAAAUGAAAUGCUUUCAUUUUAAUCCUGUUUCUAAUGGAGUUCUAUUAUAAUAUUCAAAGUACAUUUCAUAGAACAGUAGGGCCCAGGGCAUAAUAGAAACAUUCUUACUCAAAUAGAACUCUUUAAAAAAUCAUGUUCUAGAUAAAGUUAAUGUAUAAUGAUAAAAUAUUCAUGUAAACCAAGCCACACAAUUCAAACCAAGCACAGAAGUCAUAUUAUGUCUGACAACAGUUCAAUGUCUAAAACCAAAAACAAAUGGCAAGACAUCAUUGCCUUAAAGUUACUCUUCUAACUCUGGAUUUUUUUUUCUGUCUCCUCACUGAAGCACAACUCAACUUAUUUAUUUCUAGAAGCCAGUAGCUUCUCCAUAUACAGGGGCAGAAUUUAGAAACAGAGAAUUUCAAAAUAAAUUGAAAGAAAACUAAUGAGGAAAUUGAUUUCUAGAAACAUACAGCCAACAGCAUCUGAAAUAUAACUCCUAGGAGUCCCCAGGCAAUAUUCCAGGUUUUCUCCUUAUUUUAUAAAUUCAUACAGUCAUUGCAUUUUAAUGCCCAAAGCAAGUGGAAACUUCCACUCCUUGAUUUUGAUGCAUACUGAAGAUGAGAGUAGAUGAAGUAACUUGUCCAGUAUGGCACAGCUUGUUAGAAAGCCUUCUGUGUCUCUUGAUAAGAUUCACUUUUACCAACUGAAAACUAUAUUUCAAAUAGCUCCAUAUAGUAGGCUACGCUCACAAAUUAGCAAACCACUAUACAUUCAGUAAUGAUUAUCUUUUUAUCAAAUUGUUAAAAUAAAAUGUUAUAUAAUGUUUAAAAAUUAUUUUUGUAGAAACAUGAACCUUUACAAAAAAAAAAAAGGUCUGGUGAAUCUAUAAAUAAAUAAGUUGAAGUUAAGGGUAAGCAAUCUAGCUUGUACUUGCAAGAUUCAACAGUAGAAUUUAGAACAAUCUACUUUAUACCUAGAUAGGAUAAAAGAGACUGAGGCAGAGGAUUCAGAGCUAAGAUAUUAUUAGCAAAAUAUUUCUUUAAUAGAAGUGUGCCAAUUGGCACAGGAUACACAGGGACCAAUUUGGAAUGGAAAAAGAGAAAGGAUCAAAGUGCCAUGGAAAGUAGGAGCGAAUGAGAAGGAGCUGAGAGAUGAAUCCAUGUAGCCUAACUCAUUUUCCUGCCUUGGCAGGCUUUCAGGACCAGCAGAACACUGUUCUGUCAAUGGAUGUGUUCAGCAAGGGUUUAAAAAAUAAAACACUUCUACAGCCCUGCCAAGCUACAUUUAAAAAAUUAAAAACCACUGACAAUACUCUCGGGGAUGUGAGGUUCCAAGAGUCAGGAAAGUACAGCCCUGAGGUUUCUGCUUAGUACCUUCUUCCUUUUGCUAUAUUUCCCACACAGCCCUUUCACACAGAUACAGCAGGGAGAUCGUAGAGUCAAUUGAUACGUUCUAUGCCAUGUUCCUUAGAUGCUGAAAGCCUUUUUAAAAAUCAUUGGCAUCAUUUUUUAUUAUUUUAAUCAUUUGCAAUUUCAUGUUGGAGUUUGACAUAAGGCCAUUUUCCAUUUUUGUUGCCAGGAAUAGAACUUGGUCGGCUGCCUCUCUCAACUAGUUCCACACUAUUUCUCCCCACUAUCUAUAAUGUGACCUAGUUUUGAUGAGAGGAAAGAGUUCAUAAUCCUUAAAUACAGCUCCUGGGGGGAAGCUCUUUGCCAGACAUGGGAAGCUCCUGACCCUCAUGAAAACUCAGGAUGGGUAGGUUAAAUGUCUGGUCCUUAGAGAGAGUAGCAGAGUGUUGGAAAUAGGGGAAGGUUUCUUGGAAGGUCAAAUUAAAAGGAGAAGGCUGCAUCUCCUGAUCAGAUCACCAGAAUGGGAAGCCAGACACUGGACAUGUGAAUGACAUUGGAGCCCUGCAAAACCAUUCACUUGACUUAUGAAUCUACCACUGAAGUUCCAGAUGCCAUCUCCUCAGCCAGUUCCGUGCGAUGACCUCCCAACUCUUCUCCCUACUCCUGUAUCUAUAUCAACUACAGAUCAAAACAGCAUAAUGUUUGUAUAAUAUGAAUCAUAUCACUUUACUACUCUGGGUACAACCCUUCCCAUAGGACUUAGAAUAAUUUGAUUAUUAUCCAUAAACCCUAUGUAAUCUUACCUCUUCCUCUUUCCCCUGAUCAACUUUUUCUCAAGCUCUAAAUACAAGCGGACAAUAACCUCUUCUCUGCCCUGUCCCAUAGCACUUUGGAUAGGUGACAUCUUCUCAUUCUUUAAGCCUCAGUUUAACUGUCACCGUUUCCUUGCCCUAUCAUCUAAAGUGACCUGGUCAGACUUGGUGACAUUACCCCAGUAUUCCCUUCACUGCUUUUUCGUUGUCUGUUUGAUAUUUGUUCUUUUGGUUUUCAAUCUGUCGUCCACAUCUAGAAGAAAAGCUCCAUGAAGACAGAACCUCGCCUGAUUCGUGUACCACUCCAGCACUCAACACCGAGCAAUGCCAGCCACAGGGUGGACUCUAAUAAAUAUUGAUAAUAUUGAUGAAUAUUGGAAUUGGCUCCACCUCUUCCUGGAUACCUUUCUAAAGUUACUUACUCUCCAUUGCCUUGGUUUCUCCAUCUAUGAA